GAUGAACGCUGGCGGCGUGCCUAAUACAUGCAAGUCGAGCGAAAGGAGGAGAAGCCUGCCUCCCUGAUGUAAGAGGCGGACGGGUGAGUAAAACGUGGAUAAAAUACCUAUAAGAAUGGGAUAAAUUAGGGAAAACGGAGCUAAAAACGGAUAAAAUUUUGAACAGCAAGGUUCAAAAGUGAAAGACGGUCUUGCUGUCACUUAUAGAUGGAUCCGCGCUGCAUUAGCUAGUUGGUAAGGUAACGGCUUACCAAGGCAACGAUGCAUAGCCGACCUGAGAGGGUGAUCAGCCACACUGGAACUGAGACACGGUCCAGACUCCUACGGGAGGCAGCAGUAGGGAAUCUUGCGCAAUGGGCGAAAGCCUGACGGAGCAACGCCGCGUGAAUGAUGAAGGUCUUCGGAUCGUAAAGCUCUUUUAUUAGGGAAGAACAUAUUAAUAAUUAACUGUGCACAUCUUGACGUUACCUAAACAGAAAGCCACGGCUAACUACGUG
rnacentral:rRNA from 1 species